rnacentral:rRNA from 1 species
UACGUAGGGUGCGAGCGUUGUCCGGAAUUAUUGGGCGUAAAGAGCUCGUAGGCGGCUCAUCGCGUCAACCGUGAAAACCAGCAGCUCAACUGUUGGCUUGCGGUUGAUACGGGUGGGCUGGAGUUCGGUAGGGGAGACUGGAAUUCCUGGUGUAGCGGUGAAAUGCGCAGAUAUCAGGAGGAACACCGGUGGCGAAGGCGGGCCUCUGGGCCGAUACUGACGCUGAGGAGCGAAAGCGUGGGGAGCGAACAGG